UUUAGCUCUAAGAGAGGACAAGCUCAUAUUCUACCUAGCAUCCUUAAUGCUUGUAACUUCUGUGAGUGGCAAUAUUGAUUCCUACGUCUGUGCUAACUGUAUUACAGACAGCAACUGGUAGGAAGAAUUUCCUAACUUGCUGUAUCAGGCCCCAGGAUGCCAACUGAUUUGUACGUUCCCAGGAGCUGUCAUCUGGUAAUAGUAAAGAAUUGUUACUUGCUUGCUCUCAGAACCUUCCUAGUUGCAAUUCCCCCAGCAGAAGCAGGGCAGAAAAGCAGUGUUGUACAUUUGGUGCUCUCCUGUUCUCCUGUACUGUUACACCCCCUCAGGUGCCCUCAGGCUUUUACUGUGUUCCCAGUCCCAUAAUGUGUGAGCAGCCCUAUGCUGUGGUACUCAGUGUGGAAGCAGUGUCUGUGUGGGGCAGUUUCAGGAGCUGUGUGUGUCCCUGAGAUAUGCUGUGACCUGGAAUGGGAUAGUGGGAUGGCUUUUCCCAUCAGGGAGAGGCAGUGGAUGGGCUGGCUUCACCCUUCCAGGAAGAAGGGAGCAAACUGGCAUCCCUGCCAGUGAUGUUCUGGUCCAUCCUGCCUUCGUAACUUCCAAUAGCUCCCCGCAUUGCUUCUGGAGUAAACAGCUGAUGAUUAACAAGCUUGUUCCUGCAUUCAUCCCAGUCUCUUCAGUAUGUUAAAUAUCUGAUUACCUCUGAAGCUAACUGGCUUACAAUAGAUCCAGCACAACAAAAGCAUUCUCAUCUCUGUGAAAAUGGCUAUCAAAAUUGGUACCAUCUGGUUUUGAUUGUUAAGGAGUAGAAUGCUCCUUUGUGCUCAGCGACGACAUCACAAUUGGAACGCUAUGAUACAUAGACUACAUGUUUCUCAUCUUUUCAUUGCUACAGAGCUUUCAAUAGUGCAAAGUCAAUGUUUUAUUUGAACGUAUUUUUGAGGUUAACUUAAGCCAUGGGCCCGGGCUGCAGUUUGCCCUACUAAUAGACAGGGAUAAACACAACCAGCACUGGGUGAGAAUGGAGAUCUGGCUGUAAACAGAGCAUUAUUGGGAAGUGUUGUCUUCAGAAGUGCAGCUGCUUGUCUCUGACAGAUUAAAAAGGGGAGCAUCUGCAAAGCACAAUGGGGAGAAAAUGCUACAGCAGACAUUUCAUCAAGAGUCAGAGGUCUUAAAAGGGUGACUUCCAAAGUCAGAGGGAAUUUACCUUUCUUCGCUUCUGGAGGAAGACGAGCAGAGAAAAGUUUCUACCAGGCAGUGUGAUCUGUGUGUGCUUUUGCUUCCUGUAGUAAAUGCUUCCUGUGUUAACUUCUCCCUCUCCUGAGCAGCCCUUGUGCCUGGCAUGGGGUGUCACAUUGAGACCUCCCUCCAGCUCAGCAGUGGCAGCAGCUUUGGAGCCCACAGUGCUGCAUCUGCACAUGUGCAUUCGCUUUGUGUUCUGGCUGUGCUUCGCUCUGCUAGACCACCAACGGAGGGGAGGAACUUACCUGCUACGUGUGAUGUGUGAGUGCCUGCUAUUGGACAAACUGCCUGAAAGAAAGUGGAAACAGCAUUUAGAGUUGGCAGGGAGGACAGCCACUUAAUUUGACUUGAUGCUUGUUAUUUCCCAUGCAUUUCUUAAAGAGGCAUAUUUUCCUGCUGUGUUUAAGUUAACUAUUCCCCACCCAGUCUCUGUGCCAUGUCCUACCCAAGGCACUACUUCAGGUCCACAAACCUGCUCAGGUGCCCCAGGUGUGGAGGUAAUAAUAGUGAUAGUGUAUUUUCACUGUGAUUACAAUGGGGAGAACUGGCAGGAUUUGUUGCAGCAAGUUCCUUCUGCUGCCUAAAGCCAGGUCCAGAGCUCAGUGUUUAAAAUGCUGCAGCAGAAGGAGCACAUCCUUUAAGCAUCAAGAAAGUUGCAUAUUUUGUUGUUGGUGGUGGUGGUGGCGGCUUUCCCCCUUCAACAAAUGACAUUUUGCAGUGGGUUAAAUCUACCAUUUUUCCAUAUUUUCUCAGAGAGGGAUUCUGUCUGGCUGGUGUACGUGCUUGCCAUGAAAAACUAUUUAUGAGCUCCUGAGUCCCUUGCCUGCUCUUCAUGAUGUAACAGUAGCAGAUCUAGAGAAAUAACUGCGGUUAGGUUUGUAGUCUCACUUCAGAUGUACUGCUGAGUUACUGCUUUGUGCCUGAGCCAAAGGUCCACUUAUCUCAGGGAUAGCCUCCAGGUUAUACCUAUAUGCCAUAUUACCAAUUAAGGCACGCACCCAUAGUUCCAAUCCCAGAAGAAAUCAGUGCUUGAUUUCAGAAGUGCCAAUUCUUUGCUCUCCCUCCUUUUACCAUUCUCGUGAAGACAAACUUUUUGGAUGAUGUGGGAAGAAAAGCAGAAGGGUUAUGGAGAAACCUUGUCUACUUCAGCUACCACAUCCUGUUCAAUUAUGAACAAUAAAUCAGCUCAACGUAGGGCACGGUCAUCUCGGUUUAAGUAAUCAAUAUAUAUUAAUGGGAUAGGACAUAUUUGUUGGAAUCCCCUCCAAGGAACUGGCCUGGACUUCUGCAGUCCUGGUGGAAGGUGAAAGAUGUGACCAUGCCACUGCCGUCUUUGCCGAGUGAAUGCUGAACUGCAGCUCAGCUCCUUGCUCAGAGCCAGUUAUCUAUCCCAGCUCUUCUCUAAUUAUAAUACGUGCUUUAUUGCUUGUCAAUGUUUUAACCUUCCUGACACGUUAUCCCCUAGGGCAACUGAGAAACCUUAAUAAUAUAGCUGAUAAUUAUCCUCUGCACGAAUUAAGUUAUCACUGGGGUCCUAUAUAAAUCACAUGGAAAAGAUGACAGAUUUCACUGACUGGUCAUCACAGAAAUGAGAAGCGGCACAUAUUGUGACAGCUUAAUGGGGAAGGUAA